rnacentral:lncRNA from 1 species
AAGCAUCGAAAAGUCCCUCGCUGAAUAACUUCUGGCAAAUGGACUUGAUUUUACGGAUUUUUCACCGUCCAACAAUCAGGUGCAAUACCUCGACUUACGGCCGACCAUCAUGCUGGAGAUUUAUAGCAAUAGUUUGGCACCCUAGGUAGGGAGAGAAAAUCCCUUAGAAGAAAAAUCAUGACCAAAACUAGAGCCCGGAAUGCAUCCACAAGCUCC